AAACACAUCUUUGUAUGUUAUUUCCACUAAAUUAUGCAUCCCCCCCCCAUUUUCUCUAAUAUGCACUUGAUGGCAAAAUUUGGAGAAGCACAAUUUUCAAGGAUAGCUGUAUUUCUGUUGAUGUAUUCUUCUGGAAAUACAUCUUCUGGAAAAAUGAGGCAGGUUCCCAUUAUAAUGCAAACCCAACUACAUUUUUCAUGAUCUCUGCAAGUACACACAUACAACAGGAAGUUAGUCAGUGAGUUUGUGGAUAUUUUGGUUACAUAUUUAUCAGCUUGUUGUUCCAAAUGCUCUUCAGUUGGCUGUUUUCUCAUUUUGCAAAACCGAAAGUGAUGCUGACACUUUUGACAAACCGGAUUUUUUCACCUGCUGAAAUUGAUGAAUACAUACGCCAUUUGGCUCAGCAAUUGGACUCCUGCCAUUGCUGGAGAUGGAGCCUAAAGCAACAGACAGGAGGCGAAGGAACAUUUUUAACAAGUUUCCAAUUGCCUCGCUUUACCCUGUCUUCAUCAAUCCCGACUGUCAGGAAGGAAACCUUGUAGUCUGAAGAGAUUCCAACACAAAUUUCCUUGGCUCGCGGACAAGAGUGCCUCGAGCAAGUCAUGUUUCCAUUAUUUCAAAUGUUUAACAGGCCCCCAAAGAGAAGUGAGAUUUCUAAAAGAUGCAUAAUGCGCUGUUCCCUAUUCUGUAGGAACACAUCUCAUAAUGUUAUCUUCUUAUGGCUCUGAAACAGGGUCCACUUUUAAGUAAUAUGUUUGGAAAAAUUG